rnacentral:lncRNA from 1 species
AAGAAUGUUUACCACUAAAAUAUGACUAUUGUUUUCAGCAGCUUACAACAUUUCAAAUAACUUGGCUUCGUUCUUUUUCGCAUUUCGGGAAAACAACUAUUGCCAAGAAAGACAGGAAUUUCCGUCAUUCUAGAUCCAUCAAGUCAGCAGAGAAAAUUCGGAUCCACAGUGUUGAUCCCUGUCCUUUUUCACGAGACAAUGUCAAGCUCAAAUUCUCAAGUUUCCACUAAAGACUAAAUAUGUACAGCACAUUUAAACUUGGGUAACAGCUACCUCUCAGCUCAAAAAAGAAAAACAAUUGAUCGUGUGUUUCGUCUGCUUUUGUCGUCUGCAAAGUGCAUCAAACGCCACAAAUCGCUCCAAAUUUACUGGCAGCAAUUUUAAAAUUAACACUGUUUUGUUGAAAAAAAAACACAGUAUGCUUCAGUCCUUAAUUCUUGUGAUGCACUUCAAUGAUACAGUUGGAAUUUUCGAUUCUGAAAAUACGAUUGCAGCAGCUGUUGAAGUGUCAUUUCCAUGGAAUAAAUCCUAACUGAUCUUGCACUUCAGGCAUGAACAAACUACCACCAACAGAUUCUGUCAUCAAAUUGUUGUCUAAACUAUCAGUGCUUGGGCAGCAGUUAAUUGUAUCAAGCUGCAUUAAUUUUGGCACUUUCACAUUACUUCCUGAUUGUUCCCGAAUGGAAGACACAACUACAGAAUUUUAUGAUAAAUGUAUGGUUUAUUACCAUCAUUUCUUAGUUAUAUGGUGGUUAAAUUUUAUUAUGUGUAGCCUCAGCCUCACUUUAUCUUUUGACUACAGACACUGUGUACUUCGUAGUUUAGUGGUUUUCAUUCUGACAAUCUGGGAAUUCACAUUUCUUCAUUCUUCCUCAACUGCUGAUGAUUCUCUCAUGCCUCUUUUUGUUUUUGUUUUCCGUUCUAUGAUAUUUGGAUUGCUAUUAUGGGAUAUCAUUAUAGAUGUUGACUUCAGAAAUUGCAUCUUGUUAGUUUAUGAUCAUUUCAUUGGUGAAAUUGUUAACCCCUUCUUUGAUUUCCUGGAAGAUUAUGUUGAUGCUGUUGAUGAAUUGCCUUGGGUCUGGAAUUUGAUAGAUGGAUUGGAUGAAAUUUCUAAGUUUGCCUUGUGUACAAAUGCAUGAUUUGAUGAUUUCAUGUCCAGCAGUCAAACAUCACAACUCCCAAGACAAUUUAGUUAUUCUUCUUAGUUUCCCUGUGAACUGUGAUGAGCUUGAAAAAAAUUUACAAGUCAUUAAAUUCAUCUAUGAUGCCAAUGUGAAACAAACCUUUUUUUAUAUUGUAGCCUCCAUUCAUUCUGUGAAAGCGAUAAUUGUCAAUUCAAGCAAUUAUAAAAAACGAUUUAAUUUAUUUUUAGUGGAAUGUAAGCCAAUAUGUACAAUAAUAUAUAAAUUAUCAUUGAA